GGUCGUGUGGCUCAGUCGGUAGAGCAUCAUGGUAAAAACGUGAAGGUUGUGAGUUCGAGUCUCACCAUGACCA
rnacentral:tRNA from 1 species